rnacentral:piRNA from 1 species
UGGGAAUGUGGUUGCCUCUUCCUAGUGCAA